rnacentral:rRNA from 1 species
UACGGGGGGAGCUAGCGUUGUUCGGAAUUACUGGGCGUAAAGCGCGCGUAGGCGGCUUUGUAAGUUAGAGGUGAAAGCCCGGGGCUCAACCCCGGAACUGCCUUUAAGACUGCAUCGCUUGAAUCCAGGAGAGGUGAGUGGAAUUCCGAGUGUAGAGGUGAAAUUCGUAGAUAUUCGGAAGAACACCAGUGGCGAAGGCGGCUCACUGGACUGGUAUUGACGCUGAUGUGCGAAAGCGUGGGGAGCAAACAGG